GUAGCGGGGCAGCCACGGUAUGACGUGCGAGGACUGAGGCGGCUGCUCGGCCCUGCCCGGCAGCCCCGUCCCGCUCCCGCUCUGUCCCUUUCCCGUCCCGCUCGGUCCCGCAGUGCCCUGGAGAUGCUGUAGGGGCUGUGCCGCCGGUUCCCCCCCGGGAAGCGGCACACGGCGGCAGAUGCAACGUCAUGCUCUCCAGGAGAUCGUCCCCCGUGUAAGCGGGGCCCGGCGGGGGCACGGCCACUCUUGUGCCUCUCGCCUGGCCACCGGGGACUGCAGGGAGGGGAACGGACAGGCAGUUUUCAGGCCUCUGGGAAGCCGCACCUGCAUGCCGCCGGAAAGAGGACGUGCAGAGAGAGUGGCAGGCGGGAGGACCGUGUUUCGAUGUGCCCUUGGGAUUCCAGUUCCUCGCGGGGGAUCUGUGCUGCCUCAGGUACAGAGGACGUGUAUCUUGCAGGGCCCGUUUGUUCACCCGUUGAGCUCAGAAGAGGCACGAGGGGCAUGAAAUCCCAGGGCAGCUGCACUUGCCAUGGGGGCUGGAGUGAGAAGCAGCUGGAGGUGUUUGCUCUCUGCUCGGUCCCCACCUUGCCCUCAGUUCCCUGGGACUCCAGGUAAUCACACCUCCCCUUGGCUUUUCCAGGGCCCUUGCUGAAGAGUUUCUAAGUGUGGCACUGAGAUUUUCUGGAGUCGGAAUUGAUUGCUGUUUCAGGGCAUGUCUCACUGGGUAAUCUGUAUUUUAACACUUACCCGGACAGGAUAAUUGCAGCAGAAGAAAGCAAAGGAAGCCCAGAGCCUGGCCUAGGCAAACCUACAAGUUCCCUACAAACUCCUGCAAAGCCUGAAGGCCUGGGCUGAUGACUGAUCUUAACAAAGGUGGUUUAUUAAUAUUCUGACAGAUUUCGCUCAGCUCUGGACAGGGCAGGCAAGGGUUAGGGUCAGGAAUUGUGCAAGCAGGACCUGUGGAUUUCUCCUGUGUGUGUGUCAGUUAGGCAGGGCUGGGACAAGGAGAACUUCUGUGGGCGCCUACAGAGACGGCGGGAACAGGAGCGUGUUAUGGAGCGUCCAGGUGGUACGUGCUGAGAAAUUUGUCCUUCUGUUGUCCCACGCUCUGCACUUACCCAUGGGUCAAAAGUGCAGAAGUUUCCUGGGGAACCUGAAAAUGAUGCUGGGUCUGCUAAGAAAAGUGGGGCCAAAAGAUCAGGACCUGGGUCUGUGAGUGUGGGAGAAACAAGGGAGAGAGCAAUGUAUGGGUCGUGCUCUGUCUCCAGGAGGGAGGGCAGCAGGAAAGGCCGUGGACUAAACCGCUGAAGUUCCCCAGGGAGCCCCUGCACAGCACUAAACUUCCUUCUGCACUUGGUGUCCCUUUCCCAACAGAGCCGAAGCAUCGUGUGUGUGGUGUGUGGGUGCUGAGGGGAUGGAGCUGCCGAGGACAAACUGGGAGGGUGUUUGUGAAGGAAGGGGAUAGAAGGAACUCUUGACUUGCUUUUUUACUUCUUCAUCCCACAGAAUUGGCAUGAGAGGAAAUACCUCAGAGGGGCUUCCCUCCAACUAAGCCCUGAAUAUGCCAGGUUUCAGCUGCAAGAAAGGAGCUGUGGAAGAAAACCUCUCUAAAAAUACCCAGUGAGGAUCAUCAGGUUUUGCAGCCAAGAAAAACAAGGACAGAGAUGAGGGAAUUGGGUUCCAAUUAAUAAUGAUUUGAUGGGUGUAGGAAUGAUUUCUGAAAUGAUGCAAAAUAAAUGCAGAGAGAGAACGUGGAACCAUCCUGGGAUCCUUGGAGUGGUUUGGGUUGGAAAGGACUUCAGGGAUCAUCUCCUUCCACCCCCUGCCAUGGGCAGGGACACCUUCCUCUAGACCAUCCAGCCUGGCCUUGGCCACUUCCAGGAAGUGGGCUGUGACAAGGAAAUGGGCUUCCACGAGGCCAAGGAUCAGGGUGGGCUCUGCCCAGGGGAUGACUUCCACUUUGGAAUGGGGAAGGACACCUUCACAACCACCCCAGAAAAACUGCAAUGGAGUAACAUCUGCCUGCAUCUGGCGGGAGUUCCUAUUUGCUCUGGGUUUUCUGUCCGUGGGCCGUGGAUCACGGACAGAGUCAUUCAAACCUGGGGAACAAUGGCCUUCACACCAUUCCUGCAGCCCAUCUGGGGCAGGCUGCUGCCCAUCGGCACCUGACCACAGGUAGCUAUGAAAGUGAUGGUGUUCAGGGAAUGCUGAUUGUAUUUCCCCAACUUUGGCAACACAGUCAUUAAAAAGAGAAAAAUAAUUCUAUAGAAAUCCCCCGCAUUUCGGAUCUUGUGGUGCUCUGGAUUAAAUCUUGCUUUAAUAAUGUUAAAACUGUGGGCGACACGAGGAGUGGUGGCUGAGCAGGGCCCUUGGUGGUGCCGGACAGGGCUCGCCCGGGGGUCCCUUCCCCGCGGGGUUGCAGCUGCGGGAGCCGCCCCUGCCCUGUGCGGCCCCUCCUGGUGCACCCC